rnacentral:rRNA from 1 species
AUGGAAAAGAAGGAUGCUAAACCUAGACUUAUUCAAUGGGUUCUCCUGCUACAAGAAUUCGAUUUACAUAUCACUGAUAGAAAAGGAGCUGAGAGCCCUGUAGCUGAUAACUUGUUUAGGCUUGAAAAUGUGCCUGAUGACCCACUACCUAUUGAUGAUAGUUUUCCUGAUGAGCAAUUAGCUGCAAUAAAUGUUGCUCAUAAUACUCCUUGGUAUGCUGACUAUGCUAAUUACAUUGUUGCUAAAUAUUUACCACCUAGCUUUACUUACCAACAAAAGAAAACAUUCUUCUAUGAUUUAAGACACUACUUUUGGGAUGACCCACAUCUUUAUAAAAAAGGAGUAGAUGAUAUUAUUAGACGUUGUGUACCUGAGCAUGAAUAG